rnacentral:rRNA from 1 species
ACCUACGGGCGGCAGCAGUGGGGAAUAUUGCACAAUGGGCGAAAGCCUGAUGCAGCGACGCCGCGUGUGGGAUGACGGCCUUCGGGUUGUAAACCACUUUCAGCAGGGAAGAAGCUUUUUGUGACGGUACCUGCAGAAGAAGCGCCGGCUAACUACGUGCCAGCAGCCGCGGUAAUACGUAGGGCGCGAGCGUUAUCCGGAAUUAUUGGGCGUAAAGAGCUCGUAGGCGGGUUGUCGCGUCUGCUGUGAAAGCCCGGGGCUUAACCCCGGGUGUGCAGUGGGUACGGGCAGGCUAGAGUGCAGUAGGGGAGACUGGAAUUCCUGGUGUAGCGGUGAAAUGCGCAGAUAUCAGGAGGAACACCGAUGGCGAAGGCAGGUCUCUGGGCUGUUACUGACGCUGAGGAGCGAAAGCAUGGGGAGCGAACAGGAUUAGAUACCCUGGUAGUC